UUAUGUUAUUAUGCAGGUUUCUGUUUCCAAAUUUAUCUGGGCUCUCAGACAGGAUAUGCAGUCUUGCAGCAGUGUCUUUCAAAUCUCUGACUGUCCAAAAUCAUAGACUUAAAGGUCUCAAGAGACUUUAUACAGUGAAACCUGAAUGAACAGAAAAAGGUUGUGUAGCAUUCUUCUAGAAUUGCCUGACGUGCCCCCAUGAGAAUCAGGAGACACCAGAAGUACCUAGAGACUGGACGGAGCAACUCAAAAGACGAGCCUUGCCAAGAUUUUCCACACAUAGUUCCAUAGCUGAAGGAUAAAAUAUGAGAUAUUGAUGUCAGUGAUUCCCAGCUGUAAAUACUUAUUUGUGCAUGGGGAUAU